rnacentral:rRNA from 1 species
UACGGGGGGGGCAAGCGUUGUUCGGAAUUACUGGGCGUAAAGGGUCUGUAGGUGGCCAACUAAGUCAGACGUGAAAUCCCUCAGCUUAACUGGGGAACUGCGUCUGAGACUGGAUGGCUUGAGUGCAGGAGAGGAACGCGGAAUUCCAGGUGUAGCGGUGAAAUGCGUAGAUAUCUGGAGGAACACCGGUGGCGAAGGCGGCGUUCUGGACUGCAACUGACACUGAGAGACGAAAGCCAGGGGAGCGAACGGG